GACGAACGCUGGCGGCGUGCCUAACACAUGCAAGUCGAACGGAAAGGCCCUGCUUUUGUGGGGUGCUCGAUUGGCGAACGGGGGAGUAACACGUGAGUAACCUGCCCUUGACUUUCGGGUAACUUCACGAAACUGGGGCUAAUAUCGGAGAGGAUCUCCUGCUGCAUGGGGGGGGUUGGAAAGUUUCGGCUUUUGGGGAUGGACUCGCGGCUUAUGAGCUUGUUGGUGGGGUAGUUGCUUACCAAGGCUUUGACGGGUAGCCGGCCUGAGAGGGUGACCGGCGUCCAUGGGCCUGCGGUACGGAGCAGACUCGUACGGGCGGCAGCGGGGGGGAGUAUUGCACAAUGGGGCGACGCGUGAGGCGGCGGCCCCGCGUUCGGAAUGACGGCUUUCGGGUUAUAAACAGCUUUCGCCUGUGACGAAGCGUGAGUGACGGUAAUGGGUAAAGAAGCACCGGCUAACUACGUG
rnacentral:rRNA from 1 species